UGCUCUUGAACACUCCUCCCAAUGAGAUCUCCCCCUGGGGGAGCUUGGGUAUGAUUUCUGAACCCUGAAGUUUGCCGUGAAACAGCAUGUGACAUCAAAGCAAGUUCCUGGCUACAACAAAAACCUUAUGUCAGCCACGGACUGUUCCUUCCCACAGCCUUUGAUGCAGACAUGAGUGCAGACAUGAGUGUUUGGCGUAUCGCCUGGCCAUGGUUCCUUGCUCCUUUAGAAGUCUUCUGGUCGAUGUGGCCACGAAUCCCCUGCGUCCAGCCUCCACCAGGCAGACCUGGUGUUUUGUUUUCGAGCUCUGCAUGGGACUGUGAGCCUUCUGAAGGGCCCCAUUUCACUUUACUUGAGAGUACAAGCCCAUUUCUCCCAGCUAAGGUUUUUAUGACACAAGCCUAAUGUCUUUAAAUACGCAAAAAAAAAAAAACCUCACAAAAAGGAAUGUUUGUCCAGCACAUGUGGAGAAGACACAACUGGACAGAAGCAGUAGUCUUUGAUUUGAAAGAGUACAGAGGAUCGGCUAGUGGAUGGGCAGAUAAUGUACAUAAUGUUAGCCUUCUAAAUAGUGAAGUUUGAUAGGAAUUUUCACUAUUGGCAAAAGUUAUUCUUAUUCAACCGUUGCCCAAACCUACUGUUAGACCUAAACUUACCCUUAAUCAAUGUUUUAGCUGUUUCAGUUUCAUUUAACCAAUGUAUGAGCUGCCGAAACAAACUCUAACUGGUUUUACUUGCCAAAAUUUAGCCUAAUUCGUCAAUAGCACCAACCACUUUGUGCAGUUCUAGUCACAUUCCUGUGAAUAUCUGGGAACCACUACCCUGGAGACCACUGCAACAUUUUGGCAGCUUGUAGGCAAGGCUUCCUGAGCAAAGUCCACUGGUUGCCCCCUUAGUCCAGCCAGUGGACUUGGGGGGCAGCAAUGAGCACACUUUCCAUUUUUGCACACAUGGAAUAGGUGAAGAAGAGAAGACCUGCACACGCCAUAUAAAGAUAUGAUUUUAGACAGCAAUCUUUAUGUCAUGCAACAGGAAUGAUUCAAGGAUAGAGCAAAUGUCUUUACUUUGGCAAAUUUUGCUUGAAAGGAAUGUAAAGCCUUGUGGAUGAACAAUGCUGGCCUAAACCUGAACACUGGCUAACCUUUUCAUGUGACAAACACAUGAAAUGUGUGUGCCCAUGUCCUGCUGUUGUCACAACAUGUUUCUGUGGUGCAAUUCAUAUUACACAUGACUAUCUUAUCAGCAUUUCAGAGUUGCUUCUCAUUUCACAAAAAAAAAAAAAAAACACCUUGCGAAAUAAAAA